rnacentral:rRNA from 1 species
UACGUAGGGUGCAAGCGUUAAUCGGAAUUACUGGGCGUAAAGCGUGCGCAGGCGGUUCGCUAAGACAGAUGUGAAAUCCCCGGGCUUAACCUGGGAACUGCAUUUGUGACUGGCGGGCUAGAGUAUGGCAGAGGGGGGUAGAAUUCCACGUGUAGCAGUGAAAUGCGUAGAGAUGUGGAGGAAUACCGAUGGCGAGGGCAGCCUCCUGGGCCAACACUGACGCUCAUGCACGAAAGCGUGGGGAGCAAACAGG